AGAGUUUGAUCCUGGCUCAGCCUGAACGCUGGCGGCGUGGCUAAGACAUGCAAGUCGCACGGAAUCCGCAAGGGUUCAGUGGCGAACGGGUGAGUAAUGAAUCGCUAAUGUGCCCCGGACUCUGGGAUAGCCAGUUGAAAGACUGGGUAAUACCAGAUGAUAUAACUUUGUCGCAUGACAGAGUUCUCAAAGGUCCGCCGGUCUGGGAGCAGGCGAUUUCGUAUCAGCUAGUUGGUGAGGUAACGGCUCACCAAGGCGACGACGCGUAGCCGGACUGAGAGGUUGGCCGGCCACAUUGGGACUGAGACACUGCCCAGACUCCUACGGGGGGCUGCAGUAACGAAUCUUCCGCAAUGCACGAAAGUGUGACGGAGCGACGCCGCGUGUGGGACGAAGCCCUUCGGGGUGUAAACCACUGUCAGGGGUAAGAAAGUUCUGAUCUACCCCAGAGGAAGGCACGGCUAACUCUGUGCCAGCAGCCGCGGUAAGACAGAGGUGCCGAGCGUUAGGCGGAAUCACUGGGCUUAAAGCGUGUGUAGGCGGAGUGCUAAGUACCUUGUGAAAUCCCACGGCUUAACCGUGGAACUGCUG
rnacentral:rRNA from 1 species